CCAGGGUCUUGGAGAAGUUGGGCAUUUCUGUCAGUCGAGGCUGUGGAGGAGAAGAUACCAUGUUUGUGACUACAGAGAAGAGAGGGGCUGUAAACCUCUAGUGCAGCAUGAGAGUUCCGCGGAGGCUGCAGCGCGAGGUAACUCCCGGUCAAACCGCGACGCGUUCAAAGGCUCUUGAGAAAGCUCGGACAAGCACAAACAAAGACAAGAAACGCGAAAACGUCUACGCUGCUCCUCGGCGGCUUCAGAAAAAGAGACGUCGUCAAAGCAGAGCACGUCAGAUCUGCGAGAAAAGAUACAUUUGGGAUGUUAUGAAGUUAUUUCUGAUCUUAGCAAUGUAUGCAGAUUUUUAUUGCAUGGUAAAUGAAUGUACUAUU